AUCCAUUUGAAGAGUCCUGAAUAAGACGAAACGAGAGUCCUGGAU
rnacentral:hammerhead_ribozyme from 1 species